rnacentral:rRNA from 1 species
UACGUAGGUGGCAAGCGUUGUCCGGAUUUACUGGGCGUAAAGAGCGCGCAGGCGGUCGUUCAAGUCGCGUGUGAAAGCCCCCGGCUCAACUGGGGAGGGUCACGCGAUACUGAUCGACUCGAAGGCAGGAGAGGGAAGUGGGAAUUCCCGGUGUAGCGGUGAAAUGCGUAGAGAAUGUGGAGGAACACCAGUGGCGAAGGCGACUCUUUGGCCUGUAACUGACGCUGAGGCGCGAAAGCGUGGGGAGCAAACAGG